GCAUUUCAACAUGUUCUUUCACACAUAUUCAUCGUCAUCAAAGCUAAGUAAUCUGAAAACAUAAUAGAAUUGACAGAGACUUCAGCAUCUCUACCCUCAGCUCUUUGAAGCUAGUUUUUCUUUUGCCUUCUGAAUCUUCAACACCUUUUUCACAAUUUUUUGUUCUUCAACCAAGAAAGCCCGGAUGAUUCUACAUAGGUAAAUCAUGACAGAUUAAAGUACUUGUGUCGGGAAACUGAGUUAAAAUAUCAAAAGCAAAUAUGCAAUUUUGCCGACAAAAAAGGCAUACCUCUCCCUUA
rnacentral:lncRNA from 1 species